rnacentral:lncRNA from 1 species
CAACCCUGCUUCCAGAAGCCUAGGGUUAACAUCUGCUCCUUCCUCCUGUUUGCAUUCAGUGAAAUCCUCUCCUCUCCCAGGAGUUUCCACAUAAAACCUGCCUCUUUGUUUAUUAAGAAUUGUUUACAGAACUCUCAAGCAGCAAAGGCAAAGUACAGAAGAUAAAUAAGAGCAAGCUGGCCGGUGCGUGCGACUGGAUGGACAACAUCUUUACCCACAUGUCUGCAUCAGCUCUGCGUUGUUCACCGACAAAUCCCGUGUCUGGAAGAGUCCUGGCAGGCUGCACGGGCUGGAGAGAGAGCGAGCUGGUUCUUUAGAACAGAUGGAUAUUCACCAUAAGAUGUAGUUUAUGGACAAGAGUAAUUUGGAAAUGAAAAAGGAAGACAGUAAGGAGGCCUCCCCUUCAAGAGGGUUUCAUGACAAGCACCAACACCAGGCAGAGUCCACCAUGAAGGCAAGUGGCAGUGUCCCAAGGAGAGCCCGCUGGCCAGGAGGGCACCGCAAGCUUGGACACAGCAGGGGCACUGGAGAUGGGUCCACGAACCGCGUGCGCAGCCCAGGAGGCUGGCACAACUGGUGUCUGCAUGAAGACUAGGAACAGCUGGCUUCUUAUCUCACACCAUACACAAACAUCAAUUUAGGAUACAUUAAAGGUAUAAAUGCAAA